GGGCAGGUCUUGACAAUAUUCCUCACUUUUUAUUUGCUUUCUGUGUUAUGGAAAGCAUGGAUUUAGAGCAACCCAAUGCUUUUGGGGUAAGCAGGUCUAUUCUGGGUGGUAGGAAGCAAGAGGUAAUGCUGAGCAGCACCAGAGCUGCAGCUGUAUCCAGGAAUGGUUGGACUCUCCAGGGGCAAGACUGGAACAGCUGACAUGAAUAGGUAAUUUUCUCAGCAUCCCAUUUAAUUUGAUUGGGUGGAGGAAGAAGUUUUGGUCUUUGGGCUCUGCAAAACCAUCGUUGGGGCGGACCAAAAAAAAAAUAAAUAAUAAUUUCAAAACCUUGAAAGAUUUCGCAAAGCUGAAUUGUCUUCCUCUGGUAAUGCAAGCACACCCGCCCCUGGCACAGAGAUGUUCCUCAGCCCCAGAGGAGCACAGGGCUCUGCCUCUCACUACCGCACCCAGCACCAAGGACAUUGUGAGAAUUUGAAGCCAUGGCACUCAUCAGUAGAAAACUGGCUCUCCUCUACAAGCAAAUCCUGAAGAAUUCAAUUGCCAUGACGUGCUGCUCCCUCCCUGAUAUAUGGAGUUGCCAGGAGCAACUCCAUUUUUCUGUCAUCUUUCCGCACGUUGGUGCGGUAGCCUGGACAGACAUCUCUCUCCACUGCGAUACCAGAUAUGUUCCUGAACCUGGAAGCAACAGCUUGGACCUAGAACAGCCUCACCUACCAAGAGGGAGUCUGACACGAAGAUUUUUGCCACAUGCUGGGCUUUGGUUGUCCUAUUUAAAAUUCAAUAUCCUAGUUCUGUUGCAUCCAGAGGAUCCCAGAGGCCAGACACAAAUGUGGCUAUGUAAGCCUGAAUCCGAAGCAAGAACUGAGAAUUGAACACAACUGAGAUGUUUCCCUUUAUUCAUCAGUUUCUCUCUUGGCCAGGUUGAGUCUAAUGUAGUUUACAUAGGUUCACACUGAUCUUA